rnacentral:rRNA from 1 species
UACGGAGGGUGCGAGCGUUGUCCGGAAUCACUGGGCGUAAAGCGCACGUAGGCGGACUCUUAAGUCGGUGGUGAAAUCCUGGAGCUCAACUCCAGAACUGCCUUCGAUACUGAGAGUCUCGAGUCCGGGAGAGGUGAGUGGAACUGCGUGUGUAGAGGUGAAAUUCGUAGAUAUUCGCAAGAACACCAGUGGCGAAGGCGGCUCACUGGCCCGGUACUGACGCUGAGGUGCGAAAGCGUGGGGAGCAAACAGG